rnacentral:lncRNA from 10 species
CGGAGGGGCGCCGAGGCGCCGGCGGCGGGGAAGGGGGGGAAGGACGGGGGGAGGGGAGAGGGGGGGAGGGGGCGGGUGGGGAGAGAAGCAGCAGAGUCACUUCACCGACCAGACGCCGCGGCCACCGCCGACGCCGCCGCCAUUUUAACAGAGCGCUCGGGCUGCGCUCGGCUCUUUCCGCCCGGGCUUAGGAGCGGACGAGAGGCGCCUCGCGCUCUCAUUCCUCCGCCUCCCUCCCUUUCUCGCCUCUCCUCCGCCCCCCACCUCUCCCUCCGCACACACGCCGCACGCUCCACACCCCGCCGUGGCCGGCUCGCCGCCCUCCCUUUCCUCUUCCGUCCGGCCUCCCCGCCCUCGGUCCACCCCCUCCGCGCGCUCGCCCACCCCGCCCAGCCCGGAUCUCUGUCAGCGGCCGGAAGGGAAACGCGAAGCCAGCGCGGCCGCGGGGGGAGUCCGGGUGAGUAGGAGAAGAUGGCGGAGGCAACGGACGGGUCGCGGUUGCGUGGCGUCGCCCACCACGACCCACUCCACGGGCUCUGAGGCCCGGGGAGCGCCAGGUCACUCGCUCCGUCCUGUCCCCCGCCCCUGGGCUUCGCCAUUUUUCCCCAGGGCCUGGGUCGGGGAGUUGGUGCGGGUUUCUUUGGUGUCCCCGGCCUCUUCCGCGCUUAGGCUUUUGGGGUACGGGAAGCAAGGAGUCAACUUGGGUGCCGGGCCGGGUCUACGCCGUAGCCCUCUUUCGGGCGCAAGGGCCACUCCCCCCGGGGUCUGAGAGUGAAUCAGCCCAGGGCCCGGCUUAACUGCAUCGGUGAUUAUCGCUACCCUGCAGUUCCUUGAAGGUCCUCCGUCCUGGAGCAGUAAGAUCCUUGACGUAACUAGAAAUGGCAGGUAGGGACAGGGUCUUGCUAUGUUACCCAGGCUGGUCUCAAACUCCUGGCCUCAACUGAUCCUCCGGCCCAAAAUGUUAGGAUUACAGGUAUGAGCCAACGUGCUGGUCUCACGUUUUUUCAGGUAGCAGUUGAAACCAACCAUCAUGGUGAUCUGGCUUUUCUAGGGCUGGCCAUACAUAAUUGAGUUCCUCCUGAUAAAAGGUAAGCAACAAUCCUGAGAAACAUAGUGGGAGCCCUGUGUCUACAAAAAUUUAAAAGGUGGCUGGGCGCGUUGGCUCACUCCUGAAAUCCCGCACUUAGGGAGGCUGAGGUGAGCAAAUCACCUGAGGUCGGGAGCUCUAGACCGGCCUGACCAACAUGGACAAAGCUCAUCUCUGCUAAAAAUACAAAAUUAGGCAUGGUGGUGCAUGCCUGUAAUCCCAGCUACUCAGGAGGCUGAGGCAGGAGAAUCGCUUGAACCCGGGAGGCAGGGGUUGCGGUGAGCCGAGAUCGCGCCAUUGCACUCCAGCCUGGGAUAAGAGUGAAACUCCGUCUCAUAAAAAAAAAAAAAAAAAAAGGCCAGGCAUGGUGGUUCAUGCCUGUAAUCCCAGCGCUUUGGGAGGCCGAGGCGAGAAGAUCACUAAAUCAGGAGAUUGAGACCAUCCUGGCUAACACGGUGAAACCCCGUCUCUACUAAAAAUACAAAAAAUUAGCCAGGCAUGGUGGUGGGCGCCUGUAGUCCCAGCUACUUGGGAGGCUGAGGCAGGAGAAUGGCAUGAACCCAGGGAGCAAAGCUUGCAGUGAGCUGAGAUCGCGCCACUGCACUCCAGCCUGGGCGACACAGCAAGACUCCGUCUCAAAAAAAAAAAAAAAAAAUUACCUGGUCGUGGUGGCUCACGACUAUAAUCAUAGUACUUUGAGAGUCCAAGGCAGAUGGAUUGCUUGAGCCUGGGAGUUCUACAUCAACCUGGGCAACAUGGCAAAAGUCCAUCUCCAGUACAUAAGAAAAUUAGUGGAAUGUGGUGGUGCACACCUGUAAUCCCAGCUACUGGGGAGGCUGAGGUGGGAGGAUCACUAGAGCCCAGGAGAUUGAGACUGCAGUGAGCUGUGGUCAUACCACUGCAGUCUAGCCUGGGUGACAGAGUGAGACCCUCUCUGGAAAAAAAAAGAAAUGUAAGCAGAAAUCUGCAGGAUGGGUUCUUUGGGAAGAAUUCCCAAAAGAAUUCCUAAUACGAUGAGGGACAAAUUCAGCUAACAUACCAUUUAACCCUUUCUGCCUGAAACAUGGUCUUGAUGCACAAAGUAAUACCCAUCUUGUAAUUUUUUUAACAAUGAAAACUUUUACCCCAUUUGCGAUUUCAUUGUUUAAAAAAUUUGAUUAAACAGGCCGGGCACAGUGGCUCACGCCUGUAAUCCCAACACUUUGGGAGGCUGAGGCAGGUGGAUCACCUGAGGUCAGAGUUCAAGACCAGCCUUACCUACAUGCUGAAACCCCAUCUCUUCUAAAAAUAUAAAAAAUGAGCCGGGUGUGGUGGCGGGCACUUUGUAAUCCCAGCUACUCGGGAGGCUGAGGCUGGAGAAUUGCUUGAACCCGGGGGUGGAGGUUGCAGUGAGCCGAGAUUCUGCCAUUGCACUCCAGCCUGGGCAACAAGAGCAAAAAAAAUUCCAUCUCGAAAAAAAAUGAUAAAACAGAAUCAUAAAGUGUGGAUCCCUGAUGCAUCUUUGAACAACAGUCUAUGCUCAGACUGCUUAUGUGAGAAAAAUAAAAUGUAUUUUUCUUGGCUGGGCAUGGUGGCCUACACCUGUAUUCCCAGAACUUUGAGAGGCUAAGGAGGGCAGAUCACUUGAGGACAGGAGUUAGAGACCGGCCUGGCCAACGUAAUGAAACCCAUCUCUACUAAAAAUACAAAAAUUAGGCUGGGCGCAAUGGCUCACGCCUGUACUCCCAGCACUUUGGGAGGGGGAGGUGGGCAGAACACAAGGUCAGGAGUUCAAGACCAGCCUGGCCAACGUAGUGAAGCCUCGUCUCUACUAAAAAUACAAAAAUUAGCCGGGUUUGAUGGCGCAUGCCUAUAGUCCCAACUACUUGGGAGGCUGAGGCAAGAGAAUUGCUUGAACCCAGGAGGCAGAAGUUGCAGUGAGCCAAGAUCGCACCAGUGCACUCCAGCCUCGGCGACAGAGCAAGACUCCGUCUCAAAAAAAAAAAAAAGCCGGUUGUGGUGGAGGGCACCUGUAAUCCCAGCCACUCAGAAGGCUGAGGCAGGAGAAUCCCUUGAACCCGGGAGGCAGAGGUUGCAGUGAGCUGCAGUUGCCACUGCACUCCAGCCUGGAUGACAGAGCAAGACUCCUCAAAAAAGUUCUUUUUCUUUAAGCCAUUCUUCAGAUUUUCGUUACUUGUAACCAAACACAUUUCUAACUACUGAUUACAGAUACUCUUUUUUUUUUUUUUUUUUUUUUUUGAGUCUCGCUUUUUUUGCCCAGGCUGGAGUGCAGUGGAGUGAUCUCCGCUCACUGCCAGCUCCGCCUCCCGGGUUCAGGCCAUUCUCCUGCCUCAGCCUCCUGAGUAGCUGGGACUACAGGUGCCACCACCACACCUGUCUACUUUUUUGUAUUUUUAGUAGAGAUGGGGUUUCUCCAUGUUGGUCAGGCUGGUCUCGAACUCCCACCCUCAGGUGAUCCGCCCGCCUCGGCCUCCUAAAGUGCUGUGAUUACAGGCGUGAGCCACCGCGCCCGGCCAAGUGUGUAUAACUGUUGAUCAACAUUUUGAAGACCAGUUAUGACAGUUAAAUUAUUUGCCACAACUCAAAUGAACAGCAGAGCACUUUAUCACAAACUAACAUUCACCCUGGAAUGUACUGUACAGUCAACCUAUUCUGUCUCCUUCCAUCUCUCCAUUCCUAUGCCUUUCAUCUUUUUAUUUUAUUUUAAUUUUUUUUUGAGAUGGAGUCUUGCUCUGCUGCCCAGGGUGGAGUGCAGUGGCGCAAUCUCGGCUCACUGCAAGCUCUGCCUCCUGGGUUCAAGCGAUUCACCUGCCUCAGCCUCCUAAAUAGCUGGGAUUACAGAUGUGUGCCAUCACAUUGGGCUAAUAUUUAUAUUUUUAGUAGAGACAGGGAUCUUACUAUGUUGCCCAGGCUGUUCUUGAACUCGGUCUCAAGUGAUCCACCCACCUCAGCCUCCCAAAGUGAUGGGAUUACAGGUAUGAGCCACCAGCCCUGGCCUAAAUUUAAAAAAAAGGGUAUUCCUAUGUUGCCCAGACUGGUCUCGAACUCCUGAGCUCCAGCAAUCCUCCCACCUGCCAAAGUGCUAGGAUUACAGUUGAGCCACUGCACCCCACAGAGAUCUCACUGUGUUGCCCAGGCUGCAGUGCAGUGACAAUUCAUAGGCCCAGCAUGCUUUGAACGGCAUGCUUUGAGGUGAUCCUCCUGCCUCAGCCUCCCAAGUAGCUGGGACUACAGGCAUAUUCCACCACUUUCCUGGCUCAAGGAAUCCUCCUGCCUCAGCCUCCUGGGUAGCUGGGAGGACAAGUGUGUGUCACCACACCUGGACAACUGGGGGUGUAUUUGUAUCUUAUGGGAUGGAUAUUUGGUGAUUUGUUAUGAGCAAAUUGAUACCCUUCUGUUUGUGGAGAUUCUCUUGAAUCCUUUUUUCCAUACACUCCAUUUUCUUCUGUUUGGAACUCAUGUUUACUUAUGGAGUGGUCCUCAAAUUUUUAAAAGUUUAUAUUUUGCAUCUUUUUCUCUUUUCCCUCUAUUUUUGGGAGAUUUAAAUUUCUUUUUUUUUCUUUUUGAGGAGUCUCGCUGUCGCCCAGGCUGGAGUGCAGUGGCGCCGUCUCAGCUCACUGCAAGCUCCGCCUCCCGGGUUCACGCCAUUCUCCUGCGUCAGCCUCCCAAGUAGCUGGGACUACAGGUGCCCACCACCAUGCCCGGCUAAUUUCUUUGUAUUUUUAGUAGAGACAGGGUUUCACAGUGUUAGCCAGGAUGGUCUCCAUCUCCUGACCUCGUGAUCCGCCCGCCUUGGCCUCCCAAAGCGCUGGGAUUACACACGUGAGCCACCGCACCUGCCUCUGCAACUCAUUUUUUAUUUCUGCUAUUCUCUAAUUUCCAAAAUUCUGUUCUCUUGAUAUACCUUUACUGUGGUAUUGUUUUUCUUGGUUGCAGAAAGCUCUCAACUUUUCUAAGGGUACUGGUGAUUGAUAUUUUUGUUUACUUUUGCCUGUGCAGUCUGUUUUCAACUUGCCCGUUUCCAUUUUAAAAUUCAUAUUGAGACUGCCCUUAGAUGUCUGAUAAUCCUUAGUUGUCCAUUUACACACCCAUUAUAUAAAAUGUAUAGGGAAGGCCAGGCACGGUGGCUCACGCCUAUAAUCCCAGCACUUUGGGAGGCUGAGGUGGGUGGAUCACCUGAGGUCAGGAGUUUGAGACCAGCCUGUCUAAACAUGGCAAAACCCCAUCUUUAGUAAAAGCACAAACAGCUGGUUGCGUUGAUGCGUGCCUGCAGCCCCAGCUUCUCUGGAGGCUGAGGCUGGAGAAUCGCUUGAAUCCGGGAGGCGGAGGUAGUAGUGAGCCGAGAUCACGCCACUGCACUCCAGCCUGAGCAACAGAGCAAGAUUCUAUCACCCCCACCCCCCACCCCGCAAAAAAAAAAAUCAAUCUAUAUCUGAGAGAGAGUGUCUCACUCUGGCUGGAGUGCAGUGGCACAAUCUCAGCUCACAGCAACCUCUCCUUCCCAAAUUCAAGAGAUUCUCCUGGCUCAGCCUCCCAAGCAGCUGGAACUACAGGCACGUGCCACCACACUUGGCUAAUUUUUGUAUUUUUUUGUAGAGACAGGGUUUCACUGUGUUGGCCAGGCAGGUCUGGGACUCUUGGCCUCAAGUGAUCCGCCCACCUUGGCCUCCCAAAGGGCAGGGAUUACAGGUGUGAGCUACCAAGCCUGGCUCCACUCACCCUUUUGAGAAGGCUCAUGGCUACUUAGUUUACUUACAUUUUUUAAGAAUACAAUUAGUAUUUGUACCAGGUUACAUCUGUGUUCUCAUUCCAAGGCUAAUGUUUAUUCUUUGUUACAUUUAGAUGCUAAGUAGAGUUAGACAAGAAGUGCCCUCUAAUCCCAAAUAAAGGUAAAAUGAGUCAAAAUGCCACAGGAGGAAUUUGUUUCUUGAGAACAAAAGGUAUCUUAGGAACAUGUUCAUUUUACACAACUGCUGCAUUUACUAGGAACAAUAACCUUAGAAAUCUUGUUUGUAAAUCAAGGGGUCCAACUUCAUUUAAAAUGUUACUUGAUGCUUAAACACAAAUACCCACUAUCAUUAAUAUAGGAAUAAAUGAG